UGACGAAGACUUAAUGAUGAAAUUGCGAAGUGGGGAUAUUCGACAACAAAAUCGGCUCUUUGACCGACUUUGACAAUUACUGGUUCAGUUCUACUUUGUAUUUCGACGAGAGAACUUCGAAAUUUUCGCUGGAUACCGUUCGUACAAGCUUCAACGAUGACUUAAAAAGUUCGUUGCAAUCGCGCGCGUUGCAACGAUGUAAUCGAGUGUUAGUAUCGCUAAAAUAAAUUUAUCGCGAGGUAGAAGCAGUGUUUGUUCGUUCGCGUUUCGCGAUUUAAACCAUAAGUGUAAACCAUAAGUGUCCUUGCGUAGACUGCGUGCAAUGCAGUCGAUAGAGUCAGUGUUUGUUCGCAAAGUUUUUUGCUCUUCUAACAGUCGUACAGACUGUACUUAUAAAAGAUAAUAGAGUUCCGCGAAUUAAAUUCAGUGAUCGUUCGUUAAUAAAUAACUAUCGCGAAAUAGAGUCAGUGCAUCACCGAAGAGGAUCUCGACCAACUUCGAUAUCGACCUACCUCAUUUUCAACCAACUACGAAUCAUCCACCCUCAAUUUCGACCUAAAUCGCGGACGAGUGUUUUGGAGCCAUCGCAGAACUUCUUAAGUAGUAAGUGAAUUUUUAAGUUCCUCCGAUCACUCGAUCAUGUCAAGGACAACAAAGGUCCGAAUCGGCACGAGUGAUUGGUUGUAAUUAAUAAGUAAAAGAGCAUUGAGUGACCACUAGUAAAUUUCUUUCGAUUUUUCAUUUCGAAAUUUCACAGGAUGGUUUUCGAGUUUCGUUAGAUUUAUUAGUUUUCUUCUAGGUUUUAGAAUAAAGGUAGUUCAUGAUUGUUAUCGAAUAUUCUAUAGUAGUUGUUAGUGCACGAAACAAAGAAGAGGCUAUAUGCCAAAGAGGUCCUCACAAAUUGUGGCUCAAGAGGGUAACUAUUAGACUAUUGAGUUAUUUUCGAAGGUUCGACAAAACUCUUCGAAAAUGGCUCUUAGUCAUAUUUUAAUUUUACUAUGUGGUCGUUCAAAAUGCUCUUAUGUAAUAAUAAUGCUGAUUUCAGAAACUCGGACGAA